GGUUUAGGGGUGGAUCUGACGUCCCUGAGUAUAUGUGGUGAACCUGAAUUUGCCUGGGGUUUCCUCAUAUUCAUUCAGGAGUGUCAGUUCUCCCUGCAC
ensembl:miRNA